GCGCCAAAAACGUGUGCGCAUUUCUGAAGACGUUUAUCAUCUACAUUUAUGUUUUACUUUCAAGUGAGUAAAAGAUUUUUAUUUUAUACUUGUACAAUUGAUAUUUAUAUGAUGAAACAAUUACCCAGCUCGCUUCGAUAUUCCAUGAAGAGAACUGUUCCAAAUCCAACCAAAUUAUACUGCUGAUAUAAGGCUUUAACAAAUUAGUUUUUUGUUCAAUGUUUACUUUAUUAGAUUGCAACACAAUACUUUUUUCUUUUCAGAAAGAUGGUGGAGAAUAUUAAAUAUAUGAGUCUACAAUAUGCUAAGGAAGUCUCUCUGCUGAACUUAGAUCUAAUGAAUUUAUUGGAAGUUUAGAGAGGUGUGUAUGCUAUGCAUGUGGUGAGACAACUACCAGUAAUAUUUGAGCAGGCUACAUAGAAACUUAUUUUUUGUUUAGAGAAUUUAACAAAUGAAUAUCGUAAUAUCUUCGUUCUGAUUUUCCGAUACAAAAGAAUUGAUAAUUGAUAGCAUGAUGAUUUGUUUACGGAUUCCCCAUCAUUUAUCUAAUAAAUGAAAAGUUCCACCCACUGAAACUAUAUUAGAAUACAAAAAUUUAAUUUGUUGAUUUGUUUGAUUUCUAAUUCUUAGUUUUCUUCUGGUUUUCAGCUACAUGUAUUAUGCCUGGAAUCAAAGGAUAACGCGAGUCCUAUUUCAGGUGGGUACGUAAGAUGAUAGCCAAAAAAAAACUCAGAAAUGAUGUUUUUUUUAUUUGCUACUCUUGAAAAAGAUGAUGAAAAUUGUCACCUUAGUAACUGAUCUGGAAGGAAAUAAAAAAAAUAUUGCUAUACAAUACUUUUUUAACCAAUGUAUUUAAUAUUUUCAAUUAAAUUCCCCCAUUUAGCGCCAAAAACGUGUGUCGCAUUUCUGAAGACGUUUAUCAUCUACAUUUAUGUUUUACUUUCAAGUGAGUAAAAGAUUUUUAUUUUAUACUUGUACAAUUGAUAUUUAUAUGAUGAAACAAUUACCCAGCUCGCUUCGAUAUUCCAUGAAGAGAACUGUUCCAAAUCCAACCAAAUUAUACUGCUG
rnacentral:lncRNA from 1 species